CAGACAUAGCCCACUUGUUUUAGAAAAUGAAUUAAUGACUGACAAGAAAUAUCGAAAGCAACAAACAAAUGCAACGAUACGAAACUAGUGAAGGAAAACAUCGUGAGGAAACCUUAAGUUGACAGUUUAAGUUCACUAGUGUGUAUGCGAUUACUUGCUACUCGGCGCCGUAGGAAGUUUGCAAUAAGCAGAAACAUCAACAAGUCGGGUAAGUCGGAGCCGAGCUUGUUUGCAAGGACUUCUCAAGUGGUCUGUUUAUACCGCAGCCCCGGAUAUUGUCUUCCGAGACAUAAUAAUUAUUUGCUGUUUAUUCUGACUCCCAGACUAAAUUGGUUCUGGAUCCUAAGAAUGUCACAUAUAAAUUCACACUCUCAGAAUUAGUUGGCUGUCUCGUAAACUCUGAGGGAUAUAAAUAUUCAACGAGCUAUAACGUCACAGAGUCAUUCAAUGAUAGAAGAAAAGAAGAGACUGCCAUGAUAUAUUAAUUCGUGCUCGUUACAAACAAGAAAAUAAACUCUUGUCACAAUAUUUUAAAUAAUUAAUUAGUUUUCAAAUUAUAUGCAUUGUAAUGAAUUAGUCCAACGACGUACCUAACACUAGAAUCCAACCGAAGUCCUCUAGUUUUCAUAGAAAUUUAGCCAUCAGUCUUUCAACUACCUAAUUUUCAAAUACCUGACCUAACAUUUAAACAUUAAAUAGGCAGUAGGUAUAGUAUAUAUAAAACUGAAGUAUAACAACACGUCUCCUUUUCCUAUCAUCUGGAUGAAGAAUUCAAUCUCCCAGAGCUCGGUGACUCCCUAACAAGGGGGGAUUAUCUGCUUCUUGGAGUCGGUAAAUGGGAUAGUUAUUAUGCGGAAAUGGAAGAUUGUAUUCUAGCACUGUAUUAUAGCUUGCGGCUUUUUUAUAGCGAGUAUCGAACGAAGCGCUCCGUUGUGACUGUGUGCGCAAACUUAUCCGUAAUCUGCAUGGGGUCCAAUGCGAUAGCAAAGUCGAUCUAUUUAUUUAAAACGUAAAAGAUUUUUGAUAUUGAUAUGAUGAUAAUAACUUACGUAAUAACUUAAGACAGAAGGUCCCUUAAGUAGGUAAUAAAUAAAUUAAACGAAUUGGUAUUACAUGGAUCUCACAACUUUUUACGGUAGAAAAACAGAGCUGCGAGACUUGUUUUUUUACAGCAUGUUUUUGACGGCAUAUUGUUUUACAUGAUAUGAAUGGAUAAUUUAUUCGGAAGUACUUAUCUAUAUCUACUGGUUUUAUUGCACGAAAAUAAGUACAAAAAUUGCAAUUAAUACGAGAUAGUUACAUGUACAAUGGCGGACUUAUCCCAUGUGGAGAUCUCUUACAGUCCACCGGCGAUAGGAUGACACAUACACACUUACUUCUUUUCAAGAGAUUUGUAUGUUGAAGACACUAAAUAGAUUUGUUUAAAACACUUCAAAAAACCAAUGACAAAUACCAAUGUCUAAAACCUACAAUAUUCCACAAGAAACAAAAAAAACUUCUCGCUUGAAAUACCUAUAUUCAACAUAAUUAUUUACGGGGUGCUAAUUUGAAACACCAUUGAAAAAAUUUCCGCUCCUGCAUAUCUACUCAUAUGAAUUGAAAUAGUUUCGUAUUUCCUCUCAUAAUGGUUGGCAUCAAACCAAAACCCUAAUCCAUUAUAUACCCGAACCCAUAACAUAUAUGGCAAGCGUACGCAUUAUGUCCUUUAAUGUUGAAAUAUAUUUUAGCAUUUCUGAGGCGGGAUGUUUCGUAUGCUCAUAAAUUCAAAUAUAUGGACUUUUGUGAUUACGACGCAUCCAUAUACCAAAUUAGAAAAAACAUUACUUUUGUAUUGUUUUUUAUAAAAAAUAUUAGCGGCCCGUCCCUGAGUCGCUCGAGUAAAAACAUAAUAUAUUUAUUUAUUUAUUUAUUAUCGCGAACAGACAGACAGAUGCGGCAGAGGACUUUGUUUAUAAUAUGUAAAGAUACAGGUACAAGGCGUAAUGCCAAUAAAUAUUUCAGUGGCUACUUAGAUUCCUUGUAAGGUCGUUUCGAUGAAUGAUUCUGGUGAAAACUAGUAUUGCUUUUUAAUUAUAGUGUUGUUCAGUAAAACUUUUCAUAUACUUUAUAACGUAUUUAUAACGAAAAAAUCUCGUUAUAUAUAUGGAAUUCUUGGUAGCUUUUUACCUAUAAUUACCUUUUGGUAAUCAGUGAUACCGACAUGGAGAGUAUUUUGAUGCACAUUAUAAUAAUCUCAUAUAAUGUAGUAAUAUAGGUAUUGUAGGAAUGGCACGAAAUCAUUAUCAGUUCCUAUAAUAUUGAAUUUCAUCUUAAUAUUCAAAAUCGGUGAGACAACGGGUACUAAAAAGAUAUUCGGCGUUGUAAUAAAACUGAAUUUAUACUAGUUAUACCUUACAAGAUGCGACAGGUAGAAUUUAUAUAGAGGCAAAUAAAUUAGUUUUUAAUUUAUUAAUGAAAAUACGAAUCGCUCACGUGUUACUAUGAGUGAAGAAAGGGGCAGCGCGGACCGAGUCUCACUCGUCUUGAACAAGAUCUACUAUUAUUUUGAAACUACAUUCGACUUUUCCGUCUAUAAUCACACGUGAGUGAGCCGUAAUUUAAUUAAUAAUAUCUACUUUUUACGUCAAUCAAAUCAAAUCAAUUGUUAAAUCAUUCAACAAUUUAUCUCCAGUUUCCGCGCUGCAAAUCAUCACGUCACGUUUUUACGCCGUCGCCAAUAAGCGCCAUUUUGUUCUGUCUGUACUUACGACUACGACUAUUGUCGGCAGCCGUAUGUCAAACUUAAU